GGGUGGUUAGUUUAGUGGCAGAACAGCGGUCUCCAAAACCGCUGGCGGGGGUUCGAUUCCCUCACCACCCG
rnacentral:tRNA from 1 species